UUAGUGAAAUCCAUCGCUAUUUUUUGAGACAACAUGUUUCAAAGGGGCCUGCUGACGGGGUGUUGGCAGCCACCGUGCCUCGUACACCACACAUUCUAAACACUACUCAGUUAUAUCCCGAGACAUGUAAGGCCAGUAGCACCUAGCUUGAGCACACUGUAAAGUCUUUAUUGCAUCAAAAUGUCCAGCAAGAGAAUGACCCUAACACUUCUUUUUGCAGAUCACUUGGAACAACAAUCUGCACAUCAGGAUCGCCAGGGGGAUGCCGAACCUGCCGACAGAGAAGACAGUCACUAACGAUUAGUUUUGGAUAUUCCCUCCAAAAGUGUCUAUGCUCUGCAGAGCACUUAUUUAUCUUUGCAAAGGGAGGCCUGUUAUUUGAAAGAGAGGUCAAUAGGGUGACCUUGAGCCACUUGGUGGACCGAUGAAGUAACAUCCACAGAAUCUGCAGUCACUGUUGGAUCAAGAGGAGAGUUUGAGGGAUUUGAAGCAGUAGAACAGUCAACUGCAGGGGAUGCUGCACUUGCCAAUAACCUGAUGAAAGGUCCAUGGUGCUGAAAACUGAAGAGCCUCUGAGCGCAUCCAGUGUGUCAUCAGUAUGCGGGGCAGCCCAUGGGCUAUGACUGACUUCAAUAAGUCCCUUAUCCAGCAUUUCAUUCACCUGUGAUUCGAUGAUCUCCUGCAUUUGUGGUGAGGUGAGGUAAGCUCAUUUACGAACGGGGGGUGCAGUGCUGGUAUCAAUUUUGCGCUUUACAAUGUCUGUCCGUCUAAAAUCAUUGGGGUUUUUACUAAAAAUGUCCAUGUACUUUAGGAAAAGGUCAUUAAGUUGAGACUUUUCCACAGGAGAUAAGUGUUCCUCAUUCAGAUCAAAUGGCACUUGGAGCUGUUGAUUGAAUUGAUUUGAGUUGGUGGUUUGGUCCAUGUCAACGCGACAUAUUGGCUGAAUUGGAGUACUGUUCAUGACAACGUCCUUAGGAAAUUAGGAAAAUGGCUUUCAAUUUUUACUCCAUUCACCCCUUUAGUUUCCUCUAAAAAUAUUUUAAAAGCCUCUACAGGGUAUCUAGGUUGUUUGCUGCUAUUUUGUGAUAUAGGAAACCUUGCUGGCAUCAGAGACCGGGCUGUCAAUGUCGCUGCUGUCCGACAUCUCUUUUUUCUGUGCAACCAGCUUACUGGCCUGCUUGCUGGCCUGCAUAGCAGCCACCACAUUCCUCUGUUUGCUUCGCCUCUUUAACGGGGCUGAAGCCUGCAGUUCCAUCGCCUCCUCUGCUUCACCUGUCUCUCAUGCCACUCCAGCUCCAAAAAUCAACUCUGCACUGUUCUGUCCCUCCACCUGCACCUCUCAUUUCCCUUCCUGAUCCCCACACCCUAAAUGCUCCUCAUCGCCCCUCACCUCCACCUGCUGCUCUCCCUGCACACCAUCCUUCUCUACCACUUCACUUUCACCCUGACCACCAUUCACCACCAUCAUUCACCCCAUCCCCACACAACACUGUGCUUCCAUCCUUUCCCACACCUACAUUCAUUUUCACACUUUUCUCACUUUCCACUACCGACACCUCAGUACAGUACCUUCCGCCUGCUCCUCUGCAGUGGGCUCCUCCGCCGCCACCGCGGGUUCCUCCACUGCAACUGCGGGUUCCUAUGCCGCAGCCGCCGCGGGAUCCUCCGCUGCGGCAGCGGGCUCCUCCGCUGCUCCAGCCUCACCAGGUGGGCUCCCCACCUGCUCAGCAGCAGAGGGCUGCUGCUUUGCACUCGGCAGGGCCGGCCCGGACCUGUCGGGACACAUUUUAAUAAUGUGCCCCUCCUGAACGCAACCAAAACACUUCAUGUUAGAGGACGUAGCAAACAAGAUGUAAUCAGAAUCAUCUACUCUAACAUGAAAUCGGAGGUUGAGUU